AGACCACCAUAGCUUCCACUGCAAGCUUGGAGCCCACUGCAACUUCCCUCACAGGCUCUGAGACCACCACAGUCUCUAUCACAGCUUCUGGGGCCACUGCAGCCUCCACCACUGUCUCUUCCACCACGUUUGUACUCACCAAGGCCACUGACGUUUCUAUCCAGCCCAUCACCAACACACCUAUGUCAGGCACCAGAACCACUGGAACCAGACUCACUGCCUCCAGCUCUGUCACCAUGGCCCCUGGAAUGGACUUCACGGCCUCUGCUGCCAGCCAUACUGUGCCAGGAAUAGUCUUAAACACCUCUGGCCUGGGUACAUCCACUAUGGGAGCAUCAUCUACCACCUCAGCCCACGGCGUCAGGACCACCACAGGAUCCACCCGUGAGCCAACCAGCAGCACCUUCCAGGAAACAGGCCCGGUGUCCAUGGGCACAAACACAGUUAGCAUGAGCCACACACCCACAAACGUGAUCAAACCAAGUGGAUAUUUACAGCCCUGGGCUAUCAUCCUCAUUUCCCUGGCUGCAGUUGUGGCUGCUGUUGGAUUGUCAGUAGGACUGAGUUUUUGUCUGAGAAACCUUUUCUUCCCCCUGAGAUAUUGUGGUAUUU
ensembl:lncRNA MUC22 mucin 22